rnacentral:rRNA from 1 species
UAGGGAAUCUUCGGCAAUGGACGAAAGUCUGACCGAGCAACGCCGCGUGAGUGAAGAAGGUUUUCGGAUCGUAAAACUCUGUUGUUAGAGAAGAACAAGGACGUUAGUAACUGAACGUCCCCUGACGGUAUCUAACCAGAAAGCCACGGCUAACUACGUGCCAGCAGCCGCGGUAAUACGUGGGUGGCAAGCGUUGUCCGGAUUUAUUGGGCGUAAAGCGAGCGCAGGCGGUUUCUUAAGUCUGAUGUGAAAGCCCCCGGCUCAACCGGGGAGGGUCAUUGGAAACUAGGAGACUUGAGUGCAGAAGAGGAGGGUGGAAUUCCAUGUGUAGCGAUGGAAUGCGUAGAUAUAUGGAGGAACACCAGUGGCGAAGGCGGCUCUCUGGUCUGUAACUGACGCUGAGGCUCGAAAGCGUGGGGAGCAAGCAGG